CAAAAAUAAAUAUAUCUAACCUUAUUGACAAAGCUAAACUCAGGCCAGGUCGAGAGAGGUCAUUUGAAGGGCCUGGACACAGUAACCAAGGGCGAAAUAGGUCAUAGCAAGGGGUCAAAUAUUUAAACUCAGGCCAGGUCGAGAGAGGUCAUAUGAACGACCUGGACACAGUAACUGAAGGGGGCAUACAAGGUCAUUAUAGCAAGGGGUCAAAUAUUUAAACUCAGGCCAAGUUGAGAGAGGUCAUACGAAGGGCCUGGACACACAGUAACUUAAAGGUCGUACAGGGUCAUAGCAAGGGGUCAAACAUGUAAACUCAAGCCAGGUCAAGAGAGGUCAUACGAAGGGCCUGGACACACAGUAACUAAAAGGUCAUACAGGGUCAUAGCAAGGGGUCGUGUAGUAUGUGGUAUAAACAAUAGUGGUGUCUUAGUUAAGUGUUUAUAUUAAUAUGUUAUCGUCAACAACGCCGACGCUGCUCUGGGCUGUGGAAGAAGGGCGGCGUCUGCACGUAACAACACAUGGCAGUAAUUCACCAUCAUUAUUUAUUGAUUUAUUUAUACAGUCAGCAAGAGUCUGUUUUUGUUCAUUCAAUUACGACAAAGUAUAAAGUUGACUGGCUCUGUUGUUUCUGGUCACUCAAUUAUGACAAAGUACAAAGUCGACUGUGGCUCUGUUGCUUCUGUUCAUUCAGUUACGACAAAGUACAAGUUGACUGUGGCUCUGUUUGUGUUCACUCAAAUACGGCAAAGUACAAAGUCGCCUGUGAUUUCAACUUACAGAAAAGGUUGCCAGUCACUUGAUGAUAUUACAGUGAUUAAGUUAAUAAUGGAAAUCUGUCAGUCACAUAAUAAUUGCAAUGCCUUAUCUUAACACAGCCACUUAUCAAUGCUGUAGUUAACAUUGCAAGCCUGUCAGCCACUUAUCAAUGCUUCAAUUUAUUGGAAACUUCAGUCAUAUAAUAAUUCCAAUGCUUUACUUAACAUUGCAAACCCAACAGUCCCUUCAUACUUACAAGACUUUACUUACUUCCAUACUUUACUUCACUUUAGACUUUACUAACUUUACUUUACAGCCCCUUAAAAUCCUUCCUCACUCUUCUCAACCUCAGGAAUAGCUCGACAAAUCAGAACAAGUAUUGAUAUUAAACAUGAGUGAGUGAGUGGCCGACAGCCGUUCGUCCGAGCCCCAGAGCAUCGCCGUUUAAUAAUUUGUGCUUUAUCACUAUAUCGACAUUUGAGACAAACCCCAGAGCAGGGAGAUGGGGCGGACAGGGGGGCGGGAGGCUAGCUACGUAAGUCCGCCAUGCCGUCGACGCCCCCCUCAAGUUAGGUUACGCCCGGCAGCCAGCACGCACCGCCCCAGACUUAGUGCUUGCAUUGGGGUGAGAUGACUUAUUUUUUUAUUUUUUAUUUUUUUUGCUAUUGGGAUCAGAAACAACUUAUUUUUUUCUUUCUAUCUCUCUCUCUUUUCCUUUUUUUCUUUUUGUUUUGCCCAUGGGGGUCGGCAGGCAAGUGUUUACAGUGGCGACAUCUUGCUUGGACGAGAGAAGGGAGGUUGCGAGAGACGGUGUUUGCGGAGUUGUUGAGAAUGUUCGGUGUUUUUCGUCUCCAAGUCAGCGCGUCUUUCCAGAGGUUGUGUUUGUAUACUCGUGCGAAAGUCAGACAUGUUUUUUUCACGAUCAGGAACGUUGGAAGUAGUUUUCUGUUGUUACUACCGUAAGACUGUUAGUAGUUAGUAGUUAGUUAUGGGAGCGGUGAGUAGCGGGCUUUUUUUUUUAUUUUUUUGCACUUUUUGUUGCCCUUGAGCCGUCCCCUUUGUUGUAAAAAAAAAAAAAAAAAGUAGCCUUAGUAACCUUGCAAACUUCCGAGGCUUAGUCAAUCAACCCCCAAAGGCUCUCACAGGUGUCAGAGUUUCCAUUGGUGGUGUCCUGAGCCUGGCGUAGCUUUGCAAGGCUUCCGCUCUGUGUACGUAAAAAAACACUCUUGACGGCCACAGAUAUUUGAGCGUAAAAUCCUUCCCUUAUCAUUGGUCGCGAAGCCGUAAGGUAACACAGACUUUUUCAUGGUGGGAAGGUACCUGCUGGCUAUUACAAGUCCAACACGUGAUCAGGCCGUGGUGAAUAACAACUGCUUCUACCUCAUUACAAGCACUUUAGGUCAUCAUUCGUAGCUUCAGAAGGACCGGCGCUCUCUCUUAGGGGUCACAAUACUUCCCUUAAUAACAGUACUAUAGCCUUAAGGUCCCAUAUCGGCCCUUACAUGAGUAUACACAAUAGUUUUCGCCUUUAUUUGCAAGCAUGUUAGUUGGGUUGGUGUGAGCAAGCUGCCGACGAAACCAGUGAUUUUAAACUCAAUUUUUUUUUCUUCGAACUAUUUAUAAUAUUUACACACACACACACACACACACACACACACACACACACACACACACACACACACACACACAUCUUUAGUUCAUGUGUGUGUGUGUGUAGAGGAAGUCACUAUGUGUGUGUGUGUGUGUGUGUGCGCGCUUUCUUACGAUUGAAAUUGGUGAGGUAAGAAACACACACACACACACACACACACACACACACACACACACACACACACACACACACACACACACACACACACAAUCGUGGAGGUGAUAUCUAUACCCCUAGCCAGUCUAUCUGUCUAUUGAAUUCACAACUGACUGACUGACUGACUGACUGCAAAUUAGCUUAAUCAUAUCUUUGGAGACUUACUGACUGACUGACUGACCAACCCACCAACUGACUGACUGACUGACUGGCUAGGGUACAGAGAGAGUGACACCUCUAGACUAAACCUUGCGUCAAAAUGUAUUAAAGCGAAAUCAAUGCCGUUUGUCGACUCGUAAUAAUAAUAAUGAUAAUGAUAAUAAUAAUAAUGAUGGUAGUAUAUUAGAUAGACAGACAGGCACCAAUGACAACAAUGAUAAUUAUAAUGAUCGUAAUAAUGAGUUUAAUCGAACCUCAACAACAACAAGUCUGCAAGUGGUCUAGGGUCCGACGGCUAGUUAUUUUUAUUUAUUUUUUUUGUUUUUUUUUUUCGUCUCUGGACUUCAUCUUCUUCUUCCUUGGACUGGCUGGCGGACCCUCGACUGCUUGCCCGCGCCCCCCAUAUUAAUAUUUUUUCUCUCAUACGUAAAUAUAUUAUUGUUAUUAUUAUUAUUUACAAACGUCGUCAUAUAUAAUCUUUUUUUAUUUAUUUAUUUAUUGUGAUUUGCUACGCCUCUUCGGUAUGUACGUAAAUUAUUCUGUAUUCUCUCCGAUGCUGGGAUGUACGUAUCACAGUCCUACUACGCGCACACACUCGCAUACACACACACGUACACACGCACACACGAAAAACAACAAAACGCUUCAUAGCCUCGUAAAUAUUUUUGAUUUGACACGAUCACUUUUUUUUUUUUGAGGAAUAUUACGUCUUCGGCGCGCGCACACACACACACACACACACACACAAGCACAAACAGCUCUAAAAUCGUCAAUUCUACUAUUACGUAAUUAAAAUGAAUUAUCCUACACGAAACACGACCAUUUUUUUUCGACACAAACGCACAGCAAAAAGAAGCAGUUAGGUAUUAGUUGAGUUCCUACUUCUACUUUCUGACAUGGAGAUUUUUAGACUACCCUACGAUGUUGGUUGCGGUAUGCAUGUAUGUAUGUAUGUAUAUUUGAGAUGGUCGGGCAUGAAAGAUUCUUUAUAAUACGGCGCUGGCUGGCUGCGGAAUAAUGCAUGUAUAUGUCUAUGCAUGUUCGGAAUGACCUGGCAUGAACAUUGCAUGGAGUGCCGCAGACGAUGUGUUUUGGCGCAGGAGAGGGCAAGGCUUGGGCACGGGGCGGCACAGCAUUGGCACAGUAUUCACCAUGUUGUAAUGUUAGCGGCAGGAGUCUUCCCUCGAGCACCCAGCUUCAUCGCCUCCCCCCUACAGCCUCUGCCUCUCUCCUGCUCCCCACACACACAGCUUUACGUAUAUGACAAUGGCAAUGACAGAGUGAGGUGGUCGCAGUGAUCAAAGACAAGAUAUCUCUCCUUAAGUAGUGCAGCUAUCUACUUUACCUAACUGUAUGGUGUGUGUAGUAUGCAUCUGGUAUCUAAGUAUAAAGUAUCUAGUGAAGAGUUUGGAGACAUGGCUACGAAUAGUCUUUUGAGAUAGACGAUUUUUUGUUUUGUUUUGUUUAUUUUUUAACGCCUCUCGGAUCAUCUGUUCCCCUGCGUCACAUUGAAACCAAGCGUCUGUCUGUAGUGGUAGUGGUAACCCAUACACACACACACACACACACGCAGACACACAGACUUGCUUUACUCAUGCGUUCUCUCUCCUGGUUCAAAGGGGAAAGGAGAAGGAAGGGAAAGGAGUGGGAGGAGGAGGAGGAGGAGGAUUUUGUGUGUGCAUCUCUGGUGAAAAAAUCGUCCCUUCACUCGCCUAUAUAAAAAAUCAACAUUACCGAAAAAUAAGUCCUCUUCCGAAAAAUAAGUCCUCGUUUCCGACUUCGCUUCUUCGACAACAUCACAGACUCUUACCCCUUCCCCUCCUUCCCUCCCCCUCCCCCCUCCCUUCCUUUUUUUUCAUAUUUCUCUUUUUUUUUUCUUUCUUUAGUCUAUUUCCCUCUCCCUCUCCCUUUCCUUCCCCUCCCUUUCUUCUCCCUCCCUCCCUCCCUUCUGUUGCCUUACACAGCUUAGUAUAAAUGACUAGGCCUCUUCAGACUGUUAUGUGUGUACCUCAAAUACACACACACACACACACACACACACAGUCAUCCGAAAACCUAGAUACAGUUUAAAGAUAUAUUCAGUUUCCUACACGCUACAAAGAUACAGGUUUGAGCACAGAGAUUAUUGUUGAAUGAGGAGGAGGAGGAGGGAAGGAGGGGUGCACAAUUUCCAAGGGACAUCACAUUGCCACCUCUACCUCUAACACUCUAUGACCCACCCUCUGCAAUUACCCAAGGGAGGACUCUGUUGCCACCUUGACCUAGCUUAACCUUGCAUCAGACUUUAUAUAAUUUCAACUUAGUUUUCUUCCUCUUACGAACAGACUCCCAAGGGGCUUCACAUUGCCACCACAACCUCUGAACACACUACACCCUGCCCUUUGCAAUUACCCAAGGGAGGACUCUGUUGCCACCUUGACCUAGCUUAACCUUGUAUCAGACUUUAUAUAAUUUCAACUUAGUUUUCUUCCUCUUACGAACAGACUCCCAAGGGAUUUCACAUUGCCUCCACAACCUCUAACACUCUAUGACCUACCCUCUGCAAUUACCCAAGGGAGAACACUAUUGCCACCUUGACCUAACUUACCCUUGCAUCAGACUUUACAUAAUUUCGACUUAAGUUUCUUCCUCAUACGAACAGACUCCCAAGGGACUUCACAUUGCCUCCACAACCUCUAACACUCUACAACCCACCCUCUGCAAUUACCCAAGGGACACUAUUGCCACCUUGACCUAACUUAACCUUGCAUCAGACUUUAUGUAAUUUCAACUUAGUUUCCUUCCUUUUACAAACAGACUCCCAAGGGACUUCACAUUGCCACCAUAACCUCUUAACACUCCACGACCCACCCUCUGCAAUUACCCAAGGGACACUAUUGCCACCCUGACCUAACUUAACCUUGCAUCAGACUUUAUGUAAUUUCAACUUAGUUUUCUUCCUCUUACGAACAGACUCCCAAGGGAUUUCACAUUGCCUCCACAACCUCUAACACUCUACGACCUACCCCCUGCAAUUACCCAAGGGACACUAUUGCCACCUUGACCUAACUUAACCUUGCAUCAGACUUGACAUAAUUUCAACCUAGUUUCCUCCCUUUUACAAACAGACUCCCAAGGGACUCCACCAUGCCUCCUCUACCUAACUUAACCCUGCAUUAGACUAUAUAAUUCUGAUGGUAUUUUCUCAGGGAGGGAGUGUUCGUAUGUGAGUACAUUGGAAUGCUGUACGUAUUUGGGUGUAUUUGUAUUCAUGUUUGAGUUAUUAUUUAUAGAAAUCCAAGUACUGUAUUCUCAUUGGAACUGGAAUGCAAGGGAAAGGUAUUUGUAUUGUGCGAUUAAUGUAAUGUAUUUUGCUACCUUGCUUGCGACAUCGAUUUUGCUGUCGAAAUCUAUUAAGUGUGGCUGUCAUAAGGAGUUGUCGUAUCUGUUUCAUCUAUAUACAAAAAAAUGGUAGCAGUUGUCAAUAGAGCGUUUGUGAAUAUUUCAAAAUUUGUUAUCGUAAAUGUCAGCUGCUGUUCCUCACAAGUCUAGCCUCCUGGGCAGACGUGUAUAAUGAGAAUAAAAGCGUAUAUAUGACAGGAAGCAGUGAAAAAUUAUAAGCAGAAAUAUAGACAGACAUGUAAACUUAAACUAGACAACACAAAAAGAAAACGAAUCAAAUUUAUAGUGGUCGUGUGCAGCACCACAGGGUCACAAGCUCUUGUUACUGUUGCAUACCUCCAGUACUCUUGAACUAUAGCCAGUUACAUUAGGAAGGCGUCUGUCAAUAAAAAGUAUUCAUGGAUACAUUCAAAAAGUAUUCGUAUUCAUUGGUAUCUGAAGUAUUCGUAUUCAUUGGUAUCUGAAGUAUUUGUAUUCAUUGGUAUCUGAAGUAUUUGUAUUCAUUGGUAUCUGAAGUAUUUGUAUUCGAAAACACGACCCUUGUAUUCACGCCAUCCUUGAUUUUUCUUCUAGCGACAGACUGAAAGCAGAAUAUUGGUGAUGCAUAAAACAGUUAAAAAAAAAGAAGGAAAAGAUGAAGUAAUGAAGCCUAGACAGACAUCUCCCUUUGCAUCAGACUAUGUAAUUUCAAUGUCCGUUUUCUUCCUCUUAUGAACAGAUUGAAUGGAAGAGGAUAUGGGUGACAGGCAAGAGAGAGAGAGGACUGACUGACUGAUUGUGGACCUGGUGUCAUCUACCCUUCCCUUCCCUUACACGAGUCCAGAGUUGAGCGUCAUGAGGUGAGUGAGUGAGUGACAUAUGUACGUAUACAAAAAUUAGUUGUUAGCAAUAGAGUGUUAGUUAGCUUAAGUACGUAAAUAGCUACCUUGCUUACGACAUCGAAUUUGCUGUCAGAAUCUACAAAGUGUGGCUGUCGUAAGGAGUUGUAAUUACUUUCUAUAGAUAAACGUUAGUAGUUAUCAAUAGAGCGUUAGUUAGUUUAAGUACGUAAAUAGCUACCUUGCUUAUGACAUCGAAUUUGCUGUCAGAAUCUAUAAAGUGUGGCUGUCGUAAGGAGUUGUAACUACUUUAUAGACAAACAUUAGUAGUUAGUUAUCAAUAGAACGUUAGUUAGCUUAAAUACGUAAAUAGCUACCUUGCUUACAACAUUGAUUUUGCUGUCGGAAUCUACAAAGUGUGGCUGUCGUAAUGAGUUGUCGUAUCUGUUUCGUCAAUAUACAAAAAUUAGUAGUUAUCAAUAGAGUGUUAGUUAGCUUAAGUACGUAAAUAGCUACCUUGCUUACGACAUCGAUUUUGCUUUCGGAAUAUUCAAAGUGUGGCUGUCGUAAGGAGUUGUUGUAUCUGUUUUGUCUGUAUACAGAAAUUAGUAGUUAUCAAUAGAGCGUUAGUUAGCUCAAGUACGUAAAUAGCUACCUUGCUUACGAUAUCGAAUUUGCUGUCGGAAUCUACAAAGUGUGGCUGUCGUAAGGAGUUGUCGUAUCUGUUUCGUUUCUAUACAAAAAUUAGUAGUUAUCAAUAGAGCAUUAGUUAGCUUAAGUACGUAAAUAUCUACCUUGCUUACAACAUUGAUUUUGCUGUCGGAAUCUACAAAGUGUGGCUGUCGUAAGGAGUUGUCGUAUCUGUUUCGUCUGUAUACAAAAAUUAUUAGCAGUCAUCAAUAGAGUGUUAGUUAGCUUAAGUACGUAAAUAUCUACCUUGCUUACGACAUCGAUUUUGCUUUUGGAAUCUACAGAGUGUGGCUGUAGUAAGGAGUUGUCGUAUGUUUCGUCCGUAUACAAAAAUUAGUAGCAGUCGUCUAUGGAGUGCUAGUUAGCUUACGUACAUAAAUAUCUACCUUGCUUUCGACAUUGAUUUUACCGUCGGAAUCUACAAAGUGUGGCUGUCGUAAGGAGUUGUAAUUACUUUCUAUACACAAAAAGUAGUGUUCGUCAUCUACAGGGAAGGUUACUUAAAUACCCGAUGUCUACCUUGCUCAAAACAUUACGACCUUCCUUACGAUUUUUAAUUUUCCUGCCAUAUCGGUCAUACAAACUACAAUGUGUGGCCGCCGUAAGCAGUUGACGUAUCCCUUUUAUCUAUAACACAACAGCUUCCCUCUUUUGUCUGCAUAAGUCAAUACGUAAAUCAAUAUUGGUGUGAGCUUUCCUAUUAUCGGUAUUUUAUUUAUUUUUUCCUCCUCUGACGAGAUGAAACUAAGUCCUCAUUUCUUACAACACAACAGCUUCCCUUUUUUGUCUGCAUAAGUCAAUACGUAAAUCAAUAUUGGUGUGAGCUUUCCUAUUAUCCAGUAUUUUAUUUAUUGUUUCCUCCUCUGACGAGAUGAAACUAAGUCCUCAUUUCUUACAACACAACAGCUUCCCUCUUUUGUCUGCAUAAGUCAAUACGUUAAUCAAUAUUGGUGUGAGCUUUCCUAUUAUCUGGUAUUUUAUCUUUUCCUCCUUUGACGAGAUGAAACUAAGUCCUCAUUUCUUAAACACAAUAGCCUUCCACUUUCUCUGCAUCAAUCAAUACAAAAAGAGAGUUAGUUCUUUAGAGGGCAAGUUAGCUCAAAUACACGAUAGCUAUUUUACGUACCUACGACAUUUUGCUGCUGGAUCGAUUGUACAAAGCGUAGUUGUCACAAGCAGGUCUAUCCACCUCGUCUGUUUACAAAAACUAGUUACGGUAAACUGUAUGGGGUUAGAUUAAGUGUUCUCGAUAGCUACCGCUCUUAUAAGAUUGAUUUUUGCCGCCGGAUUGAGUACAGAGUGUGGGCGUCAUAAGCGGUUAUUGUGUUUGUUUCGCCUAUAUAGAAAAAGUGGUCGUCUUCAGGGAGGGUCUUGUCAGGUUAAGUACGCAAUAAUGACCUUUCUUACGACAUUACGACCUUGCUUCCGACCUUGAUUUUGCCACUCCAUAACAACUUUCUUCCAAAAUUACGACCCUGCUUACGACCUUGAUUUUGCCACUCAAUAACGACCUUUCUUACAACAUUACAACCUUGCUUAUGACCUUGAUUUUGCCACUCAAUAACACUCUUUCUUACAACAUUACGACCUUGCUUACGACCUUGAUUUUUGCUGUUGGAUUGGUCACCUUCUCCAUAUACAAAAAGUACUCGUAGUCAUCUUCAAGGAGAGGUUUAGUCAGGUUAAGUACUCAAUAACAACAUUUCUUACGACAUUACAACCUUGAUUUUGCUGUCGGAUUGGUCACCUUCUCUAUACGUAUACAAAAAGUACUCGUAGUCAUCUUCAAGGAGAGGUUUAGUUAGCUUAAGUACUCAUUAACGACAUUUCUUACGACAUUACAACCUUGAUUUUGCUGUCGGAUUGGUCACCUUCUCUAUACGUAUGCAAAAAGUACUCGUAGUCAUCUUCAAGGAGAGGUUUAGUCAGGUUAAGUACAGUAUUUGAGAGCUACCUAUCCAGAUACGUUCAUUGAUUUCACCCUCCUCCUUAAGGUUAGGUUAGGUUAGGUUAAGUUUUCCUACAUUCAUUCACCCUUGGAUAGUUCAGUGUAUGUAUUCCAUGUGAACUAUUUCCCUUAUCUGUGCUACAAGUAAAGAUAUGGGUCACUCUCUGCCCCCUGGUAAAAGAGAGAGGUCACAACAUUCACCAACAGCAAGUUUAGUCUAUUUCCUUCAUCUGUCUAGCAUACAAAUUCGUAAAGAUAAGACUUGCCUCUCAUCCACCCAUAGCAAGCAUUCAGUCUCCUCCCUUCACCUGUACAACUUCUACUGUGCAAAAAUAUACAUCUUCCCAUCUUCUCUGGUGCUCUCUCUCCCUUCCUUCCUUCCUUCCUUACCCUUUCCUCUCCUCCCUUACCCUUUCUUCCUCUCUCUUCCUCUCUCUUCCCUCCCUUGCCAAUUCAUCCCUUCCGCCUCCUUGACACCUUCUCCUCUGGUCAGUGUUCAAGUGAGUGCCUUCGCGAGUGUCGAGUCGGCCCUACUUGGCACUAAAUGCCCUGUUCUGUCACUCAUGCAUCAGUGCCGCCCCCUGUGUCGUGGGUGCCGUGUGGAGUCAGGGUGUUCAAGUGCCAGAGUGUGGGUGGUUGUUGGCACUCUCCUAUGCACAGUGCCAAUUGGUGUGGUGUUGUGAGGUGGUUCUUGUGUGUGUGUGCAGAAGGAAGGAAGGAAGGAAGGAAGGAGGGAGGGAUGGAGAAGCUACACACACACACACAUACAAACACACACACACACUAGCUUUCUCUCUCUCUCUCUUUUCCUUACCUUUCUUUCCCUCCUUCUCUCCAUUUCUCUCCCUUGCAAGUUCAUUCCUUUCCUCCACUUUCUCUCCCUUGUCAAAUUCAUUCCCUGGUUUUCUCUCUCCCUUCCUUCCUUCCUUCCGUCCUUACCCUUUCUCCUCCCUUACUCUUUCUUCCUCUCCCUUUCCCUCCUCUUUCCUCCCUUGCCAAGUCAUCCCUUCCUCCUCCUCCUCCUCCUCCUCCCUUACAAAUUCGACCAAAGAAAAAGAGAUGGAAACAUUUUAAUCGCGACAUCUUUCCAAAAAUCGGUCGUUACUAGUCUCUCGGAAGGAGUUUAAUAGCUAUUAGUACGUACGUAAAGACGGUCGGCUGGCUAGUUGUGGCGGAGAGGACCUACGCUAGCGAGAACACUAAUAGCAAUGCAUUAUAUCGUCGCGUUGGCUAGUUAUUGAGCGCUAAAGAAGGGUUCCUACGCUAAGUCUUGGCGGAGGCGAAAUCUACGUCACUCUCGUUGCUAAUUCUACUCUAUACGUAAACAGGUUAAGCAGCGUACUCGUAAACGUCUCAGGGUCCCGUUACGCCCGUUUCGCAUGGCCUCGGGGAAGGUUAAUCGGGUUUCCGUGGUUGGUGAUUUUCCCGGUCAAGGUUUUUAAGUGUUUUCUGUCUUUAUUUUCUUUGCUGUUUUCUUUUUUCCUUUCCUCUCCUCUCUCUCCUCUGUCCUCCUCUGCUUCUUCUUCUUUUCUCCUUUCCUCUCUUUUUUUUCCUUCCCUUUCUUUCCUCCUUUUUCUUUCCUCCUCCUCCUCCUCCUCCUCCUUUGUAUUUUCCUCUUUUCCUCUCUUUUUCCCUCCCUUUCUUUCCUCCUUCUCCUCCUCCUCCUCCUCUGUGUCUUCUUUUCCUCUCUUUCCUCUCUUUUUCCCUCCCUUUCUUUCCUCCUUCUCCUCUGCAUCUUCUCUCUUUUUCCCUCCCUUUUUUUCCUCCUCCUCCUCCUCUGUGUCUUCUUUCCUCCUCUCGUCCCUCCCUUUCCUCCCUUCCUUUCCUUUCUGUUCCUGUCACCAGCGUCACAAAACAGUCCAUGUAACUUCUACUACGAGAGGCUUUUUAAACGGACGAACGGAGACGACGAGACGUUUACAGAUACGCGGCUUUUUUGGGGAUGUCGUAUCGAACACCAAAAUGAAAGGAAAAGUGUUUGGCUUGAUUGGCCAGGUGUGUGUCGGUACUUAUAAGUGACGUGAGUGUCGCUGAAGUGAUGGUUGUUUCCUCCUUCUUUCUCUUCUUCGUUUUGUUUAUAAUUUUUUUGGGGUUUGGUUUUGUGAGUUUUCGGUUGACGUUUUGACUUUUUUUGUCUGUUUUUCUUCUUUUGUAUUUUCUUCGUCUGUUAAAGUCUUCCCUUUUUGUCUUUCUUUCUUUCUUUGUUUCGUUUUGUCUAUAAUUUAUUUUUUGUUUGGUUUUGUGAGUUUUUGGGUGACGUUUUGAUUUCUUCCGUCUGUGUUUUUCUUCUUUUGUAUUUUCUUCAUCUGUUAAAGUCUUCCCUUUUCGUCUUUCUUUCUUUCUUUGUUUCGUUUUGUUUAUAAUUUAUUUUUUGUUUGGUUUUGUGAGUUUUUGGGUGACGUUUUGAUUUCUUCCGUCUGUGUUUUUCUUCUUUUGUAUUUUCUUCCUCUGUUAAAAUCUUCCCUUUUUGUCUUUCUUUCUUUCUUUGUUUCGUUUUGUCUAUAAUUUUUUUUUUUUUGGUUCGGUCUUGAGUUUUUUUUGAGACGUUUUGAUUUCUUCCGUCCAUGUUUUUCUUCUUUAUUUUCUUCCUCUGCUAAAAUCUUCCCUUUCUUUUUUUUUGUUUCGUUUCGUUGAUAUUUUUUGUUUUUUUUGGUCUGGUUUUGUAAGUUUCUGGGCGACAUUUCGAUUUCUUCCAUCUAUGUAAUUUCUUCUCUUUCUUCUGUUACUUCUUCUUCUUCAUCUUUUUCUUCCAUCUAUACUUUUUUGGGUCUGCUAACCUUCCUAUUCUUCCAUUUAUAGUUUAUUUUUUGUUUUUACUCCAUAUUUCUCAUUUUUCUUUACAUUUCUCUAAUCUGAUAUUCCCUCUUUCUCUCUUUCUAUCUCUUAUUCCUUCUUUCCUUCAUUUUCCUGCUUCCCUUCCAUUCAUUCAUCCCUCCCUCUUUCCUUCCUUCUUUCUUUCCCUUCCUUCUCCCCAUGUUCCCUUCCUUCCCUCUUCCUCCUACCCUUCCGUUGUAAUGGAGAGAGAGAGAGAGAGAGAAAGAAAGAAAAAAGGUCAAACAGUAAUUAUUUAGGAGCUCAAAAAAAGUAAUUAAUCGUAGCUGUUCAUGUUUAUUUAAGUUUCUGCGACUAAUUAAAUAAUAUACUGCCUCUCUGUCCUAUCGGAAGUACUAUCACAAGCCAAUUGAUUCCUUAUUUAUUUGGGAUAUUUACAAGAUUUUACGCUUCUUCUUGUCCUCUCAAAAAAAUUAUCAUACAUCAGGCGUAUUUCUCCUUCGAUAAAUACAUGAAUUGGGUUUGUUGUUUAUUUGUUUGAGGUUAUUAUUGGUCAUCGAAUAUCCUAAGACGCUCUCCAUAUUGUCGUUCUGCGUAAGGUUCCUCCGUCUUUUUGAUACAAAGUCAUUCAUACAUCAAUUAGGUUUUUAUUUAUUUAGUUUUUGAGGUAUCAGAUAGCCUAAGACGCUCUCCAUACUGCCUCUGCCCUCUCGAAAGUAUUAACAGAUGCCAAUAGAUUCCUUAUUUGGGAUAUUUACAAGACUGUCUCCUCUGCUCUUGCUGAAAACUAAGUGUCAUGCAUCAAUUGGGUUUUAUUUUGUUAGUUUUUGAGGUAUCAGAUAACCUAAGAUGCUCUCCAUACUGCCUCUCUGUCCUAUUGAAAAACUAUAAUAUGCCAAUUGAUUCCUUAUUUAUUUGUGAUAUAUACAAGACUGUCUCCUCUGCUCUUGCUAAAAACUAAGUGUCAUGCAUCAAUUGGGUUUUAUUUAGUUAGUCUUUGAGUCAUCAGAUAACCUAAGAUGCUCUCCAUACUGCCUCUCUGUCCUAUUGAAAAACUAUAACAUGGUAAUUAAUUUCUUAUUCGUUUUGUAUAUUUACAAGACUUUCCUGCCCUGCCCUCCCUGAAAACUAAGUGUCAUGCAUCAAUUGGGUUUUAUUUAGUUAGUCUUUGAGGUAUCAGAUAACCUAAGAUGCUCUCCAUACUGCCUCUCUGUUAUUGUUAUUCAUUUGGUAUAUUUACAAGUCUUUCCUGCCCUGCCCUCCCUGAAAACUAAGUGUCAUGCAUCAAUUGGGUUUUAUUUUGUUAGUUUUUGAGGUAUCAGAUAACCUAAGAUGCUCUCCAUACUGCCUCUCUGUCCUAUUGAAAAACUAUAACAUGGUAAUUAAUUUGUUAUUCAUUUGGUAUAUUUACAAGACUUUCCUGCUCUGCCCUCCCUGAAAACUAAGCGUCAUACAUUAAUUGGUUAUGUUAUUUAUUUUUUUGAAGUCAUCAUUGAUUUGCAUUUACCAACACUAUGUCAGUUGGAUUUCUAAUUUUAUUUGGUAUAUUUACAAGACUUUCCUGCCCUGCCCUCCCUGAAAACUAAGCGCCAUACAUUAAUUGGUUAUGUUAUUUAUUUUUUUUAAGUCAUUAUUGAUUUGCAUUUACCAUCACUAUGUCAGUUGGAUUUCUCAUUUUCUUUGAUAUCUUUACGAGACUUUCCUGCUCUGCCCUCCCUGAAAACUAAGCGCCAUACAUUAAUUGGUUAUGUUAUUUAUUUUUUUGAAGUCAUUAUUGAUUUGCAUUUACCACCACUAUGUCAGUUGGAUUUCUCAUUUUAUUUGGUAUAUUUACGAGACUUUCCUGCUCUGCCCUCCCUGAAAACUAAGCGUCAUACAUUAAAUUGGGUAUUGGUUAUUUAUUAUUUUGAAGUCAUUGAUUUGCAUUUGCCACCACUAUGUCAGUUGGAUUUCUCAUUUUCUUUGAUAUCUUUACGAGACUUCCCCCGCCAUCCUUCCAGAAGAAAACUAACACAUUAACAAAAUUUACAAGAUCACUGAUUAUAAUCAUUAAACAGCCUUGGCUUGACAUUAACAAAACAGCUGUUAAUACUAAUCAUUUUGAACUCAGAAUCGACUGUAAUUGAAUCUCUAUAAUGUCUCCCCUGUUUGAUAUGAGACUUUCUGCACCACCCUGUUGAAAAAGAAAACCCAUCAUGCCACAUCAAUUGAAUUUCUCCUUUUGUUUGGAUUAUUUACGAGACUCCCACGCUGUCUGUCCUGUCGGAAAAGAAUCUAUCACAUACCAAUUGUUUUCUCCUAUAUUUGGUGUGUUUGCGAGACCUUCCAUGCACACGUCAAUUGAAUUUCAUGUUUAUUUUGAUAUUGGCAAGACUUUCCGCUCCCUCUAUCCCACUGAAAAAAACAACAACUCCCAUGUCAAUUGAAUUUUGCCCUUUAUAUGAUUAAUUUACAUGACUUCCCAUGCACACCAAUUGAAUUUCCUAUUUAUUUUGAUAUUGGCAAGACUUUCCGCUCCCUCCGUCCCACUGAAAAAAAGAAACUAUCCCACCAGUCAAUUGUUUCCUUCUCUUUAAGUUCCUAACCAUUCUCUCUUUUUUUCCUCUCCUUUCCUCUACUCACCUAUCCUAAUGUGUCCUCUCCUCCUUCCUAGUAUUAGUCAACAGUUAAGUAUAAUAAUCUUUUAAAACUCCACGCACUACUAACUUUGAACGACCAGAACUAAAACUCAUCUAAGUAGCUUGACUCUGCAGCGGCGAUGGUGUGUGUGUGUGUGUGUGUGUGUGUGUGUGUGUGUGUGUGUGUGUGUAAAUUCAUCCAUAGUCUGAUCAUGAGCAAAGCCAGGCAGUGCAGAGCUUUACCACUGAGCUACCGGAGUGGUGGGUGUGUGUGUUUUUGUAGCCUUUUGAUUGGUGUAUUUGAGCGGCAACGGUGUGUGUGUGCGUGCGUGUGUGGGAGGGGGCUUGAGUCAAUCUUCGAGUGUCGA